GUGCCAGCCGCCGCGGUAAUACCGGCAGCCCAAGUGAUGGCCGCUGUUAUUGGGCCUAAAGCGUCCGUAGCUGGCCGACCAAGUCUCCCGGGAAAUCCACCCGCCCAACGGGUGGGCGUCCGGUAGAAACUGGCCGGCUUGGAACCGGAAGGCUUAGAGAGUACGUUCGGGGUAGGAGUGAAAUCCCAUAAUCCCGCACGGACCACCGAUGGCGAAAGCACUUCGAGAAAACGGAUCCGACAGUGAGGGACGAAAGCCAGGGUCUCCAACCGGAUUAGAUACCCGGGUAGUCC
rnacentral:rRNA from 1 species